rnacentral:rRNA from 1 species
AUGAAUUUUACUAUAUACUCCCAAGUUGUUGCUAGUUUAAGACUAUUUGUUGAGAUUAUGAUGAUGCUUAGUGUAAACUUUGAACCGUGGCACCCCCAAGCAUGUGAUUCUAGGUCCGCCACUGGAUGCAGCCGUGGUAGCGGUCGCUCGUUCACAAAGCAGAGAACUUGCACAAGUCGUCCGUCAGAAAGGCGAACACAGCUAGCCCCUGCCAUGCCAUGGGAACUGCCGGGCAACUCUUGGCAGCAACAAGUCAAGCCGGCAGCAGGUGUGUGUGUACAGCUGCCAGCCUACCAUAACGAGUCAAUCUGUGCACAAAAAUAUAUAUAA